rnacentral:lncRNA from 1 species
UAUCAUCCUAGUAAUAGCGUAUCGUUUGAUCGCAAACCAGUUUAAAAACUACAUGAUAAAUCAUUCUUUAUCGAUCAAAAUAGUCUUAAGGACUUCAUCACAAUACAAGAGUUCAUUAGAAGAUAUAUCCUUGUGAUGAAAAAUAUUAAAUAACUUUUAUUAUGUAUCAAUUCAUAUACAUUUAUAAUUAGCACAAUCGUCAAACGAUUGGUUUUAAGACACAAUUCCCAACAAGAACACCCCA